CCCAGCUCUCAGUCAGCUGACCAGACAUGUUGUGUCUGGUUCAGUGUUACAGGGCUGGCAGAGGGAGUCUCUGUACUUGGUCUCGGUGGUUCAGGUUCUGUUUUAGGAUCUGCUGCUGCCGAGCUGCUGCAGAGCGCCGCCCAACGAGAGUGGCCGGUUCUGAUCACCAUCAGGACCGGCCUAGUAGAGGGCUGCACACC